GAUGAACGCUGGCGGCGUGCUUAACACAUGCAAGUCGAACGAUGAAGCCCAGCUUGCUGGGUGGAUUAGUGGCGAACGGGUGAGUAACACGUGAGUAACCUGCCCUUAACUCUGGGAUAAGCCUGGGAAACUGGGUCUAAUACCGGAUAGGAGCGUCCACCGCAUGGUGGGUGUUGGAAAGAUUUAUCGGUUUUGGAUGGACUCGCGGCCUAUCAGCUUGUUGGUGAGGUAAUGGCUCACCAAGGCGACGACGGGUAGCCGGCCUGAGAGGGUGACCGGCCACACUGGGACUGAGACACGGCCCAGACUCCUACGGGAGGCAGCAGUGGGGAAUAUUGCACAAUGGGCGAAAGCCUGAUGCAGCGACGCCGCGUGAGGGAUGACGGCCUUCGGGUGGUAAACCUCUUUCAGUAGGGAAGAAGCGAAAGUGACGGUACCUGCAGAAGAAGCACCGGCUAACUACGUG
rnacentral:rRNA from 1 species